rnacentral:rRNA from 1 species
UGAGAAACCUGUCCCGGUCUCUGGAAUAACAGUCGGAAACGACUGCUAAUACCGGAUGCCGUCGGAGCGUCGCAUGGCGCGCUGACGAAAGGGCUACCGGAUCGGGAGGGUCUCGCGGCCUAUCAGCUUGUUGGUGAGGUAACGGCUCACCAAGGCAUCGACGGGUAGCUGGUCUGAGAGGAUGAUCAGCCACACGUGGGACUGAGACCACCGGCCCAGACCUCGUACGGGGGA